ensembl:lncRNA
GGGGAGGAAAGUGAGAUGUGGAACACAGGUAAAAGUAGAGAUCCCAACCUCAAGGCUCAAAAUGAAUUUCAGAUAACCUGUGAAAACACAGCUCUGAGUUUAUAUGAAAAGAUCCGCGGUACCCAAGAAACAAGAGCAUCAUCAGCACGCUCAGUGCAUCGGAUCAGACCGCGGAGUUGUUGACAGAAGCUUGGCGAGGCUUGCCAGCUUUCCACACGAAAUGCUGGCUUUCUUCUCACACACCCCCUACCGUUUGUGUCUCUGCCAAUUGUAGCACAUCAGAGCGGCCAUUGAGAUAAUGACCGUGAAGUCUCAUGAUACACUUUGAUGAAGUGUAACAUUUUUUAAAGGAUUUUUGUCUGUGCCAAAAUGAUCGAGGCAGCUGACUAAAAAUCACACCAUCAA